UACGGGGGAUGCAAGCGUUAUCCGGAAUCAUUGGGCGUAAAGCGCCUGUAGGUUGUUUAGUAAGUCUGUUGUUAAAGACCAGGGCUUAACCCUGGGAAAGCAAUGGAAACUACUAGACUUGAGUAUGGCAGGGGUAGAGGGAAUUUCUAGUGUAGCGGUGAAAUUCGUAGAUAUUAGAAAGAACACCAGCGGCGAAAGCGCUCUACUGGACCAUUACUGACACUCAGAGACGAAAGCUAGGGUAGCAAAAGGGAUUAGAUACCCCUGUAGUCCUAGCCGUAAACGAUGGAUACUAGAUGUUGUGUUUAAUAUGCAGUAUCGUAGCUAACGCGUUAAGUAUCCCGCCUGGGGAGUACGCUCGCAAGGGUG
rnacentral:rRNA from 1 species